AGCAGAUCUCCUGUGGCUGCUGUUUCCGGUCUUCGAGGUGACGGCUCCCUGUCCAGGCAGGCCGAGCCCUCCACACUGUGCAGUGGGAGCCGCUUCCUGCCCUCCGUGGGAAGGGGGGUAGGGCUCGGAUGCUGGUGGGCGCUGUGCCCUGUGGGAAGCCAGGUGUGAGGCCCUGGGCAGCUCGUGUGGGUGGCUCCAGGAGCAGGGCAGUGGCCCCUGCUACCCCCCAGCAUUGCCCAUUAACGCCGUGGCACCAGCGGGGGCCGCUGCUCCCAAGAGUGAUCCUGAGAGGCACCUGUAGGGACUUUGGUGUUGCUGGAGGAAGUGAGAGGCGGCCAGAGGGCACGCACACACAGCAAAGGACGCUCACUCUGUGUGCUCAUCCGACAGCGAGUGGGUGCUGGCCCCCCGCCCCGACGGCGUGAUCCAUGACCUGAGUGCUGUCCUCCCCAGUCUGAUGAAGAAAUCGGGGUACACAGCACUUGCCCGAGAUAUCUGGGGGCGGGGAGCCCAGUUGGAAUCCCGCGGGCAGCCCGGGAUGUGCUGCCUGUAUGUGCAGGCUCCGGGGAGCCUGCUGCUGCGUCCGCGUGUCUCCUGUCGGUGGGACCCUGGGUCUGUCUGCGGCUGAACUGCACUGCACUCCCUUUCUCUGCUCACCCAGGUGGUGCCUGCGUGGGGUGAGGAACUACGCCGAAGCCAGGGCCGUGGCGGGCGAGGGUGGUGUUACGGUGUUGGCCUGAGUAUCCCCUUGCUUCAGGUCUUUUCAGGGUCAUCUGGGCCCCUGUGGAAUACAGGACUCAUCCCUUUCUCUCGCCACACCUGCUGCCGUCUAGGGACCGGGGCGCGAGUCACCCCACAGUCUCUGGGCCAAACGGAACGAGCUGGAGCACCAAGGCCCUGGCUGCAGGGGCUUCACUCAGAGCUGGCAGGAGCAGGCGCUGACCAGUCCCCUGCAGGGAAACUGUGGACCUCUGUGUCCACUGGGGACUCAGCUGCCCCGCCCCACGGGAGCUGGCUCUGCAGAGGAUGCAGGCAUAGCCCCUCUGCGCGCGUGGCCCUCACGGCCAGGCCCACGGUGCCCGGGUGAACGCGUGGUGGUUAGUGUCCUGUGAGAGGGACUGUGCGCACCUGGAAACCAGCGCAGUUCUAGGUCAGAAGACGUUCCACAAAGCAGAGCUGACGCCACUGCUCAGAGUCUGGGCCAGCCUGCAGGGGCCCUGGGCGGGAAGAGCCGGUGGGAGCAUGUGGUGCUCAGAGGCUGGGCCAGCCUCCAGGGACCCUGGGCCGGAAGAGCUGGUGGGAGGCAGUGCUGGCUGGUGGCGAGUGCUUCCCAGAGCCAGGGGCGUGCCAUGCAGGACAUCGGAGGUCAUGAGUGGGCUGUGCAACCGUAAAAUGAAGCAUGGUAGAAAAUACCACAUCGCAGCUGGGGUGGACGAGUUGUUCCGUGGAGUUUCUGGCCCACGGCUCGCUCUCUGCGUGCGUCCUGUGUCUCCAUGUUGGAAGGUCUACUGUGGGUCCCGGUCAGAGGGUUUCAGAAACAGCACCCUGGGGAGAGGGAAGAGUGGGGGGGCCGGAGGUGAGGGGUCUGGGGUGUCGAUGGGCCGCGGCCUUCGUUCCCCCAGGUCCUGCCUCCGGCCAGCCGCGGUGCUGUGCUCAGAGGCCCGUGUUCUGACGCUGCUGUACUUGGUAACUUCUCCUCCGUUUGCUUAUUUGAGAGGCAGAGAUAGACAGCCCCUCCCUCCUCAGAUGCACAGGGCGGCUCUGUGUCAGGAGCAGGGCCCAGGCUCCGGCCCAGGCACUCUGCGGGGUGUGGGGUCCCGGCUGGCGUCUUAGCUGCGGCAGACACCGCGCUGUCUGUUUCUGCCUGUUGCUGGUGUGUGCAGCAUGGGCUUUGUGUUUGCCCUGUGCUACCUUUGCUGGAUUUUGGCCCCGUCCGUCAUUCCGCUGCUCCCUGUAGAUUCUUGCUGGUUUCCCUCACGCGGGGUCCAGAAGAUGGGCAGGUCUGCUUUUUCUGUCCCUUCCUUAGCGUUGAUUUCUUUUUCCUGCCUGAAUGCAUGGGCUGGGAGUGCUGGCGCCAGCUGAGUGGUGGGCGUCCUUGUCUGGCUUCGGAUCAUGACGGGAACCCGCCGUGGUGUCAGGCUUGUUUCCUGAGUGCCUUUACCACGGCAAGGCCGUGGCCCUCUGCUCCCGUGAGGCUCUGUGUCAUCUUUCAUGACUGUAGGUUGCCUUUUUUCCGGUGCUGCCUUGGUUUCUCGGUUGAGCUGAUAUCCGUUUGCUUUGCUUUGUGAGUGUGGUUAGCUGUGUCACUGAACAGCAGUGUUCACGCUUCCAUUCUGAGCAGAGCCCACACUGACCAGAGCGUUGCGUUGCUGCGAGUACUUUGAGUUCUGCUUUACGCUCAGGAGUGAGUGUGGCUUGUAGUUGUUUUUCCUGCAAUCCUCUUGCCAGUUUUCUAAAACAUUUAUUUAAGAAGGAAAGGGACGGGGGAGAGCGCACGCCAGCUGGGAGACACCUUCCCGUCCUCGGUCCACGCCUCACGUGCCUGCAGCGCCAGGAAGCAGGGUCAGUCCAGGUCUCCCACGAGGUCAGAGCAGGAGCCCAACCACGGAGCCAGGGUCUGUGGUGGUGGGAAGCUGGCGGCAGGAGCGCAGCUGGGACUUGAACCCGGCACUUUGAAAGUCCGUGGGCUGUUCAGUUCUGUGAGGCCUUGAGUCUGUGUUGGUAAGCUGUACUUUUCUAGUAAUUUGUCUGUUUCGUCGGUAUUUGCAUAGCAGUUUUCCUGAGCCCUCCCCGUGCGCGUGCAGGCCAGGGCAGGGCUCCUGCACCCGGACCCUCAGGCUGCAUCUGGGCCGGGGCCUCUCAUGCUUGCUGCAAGGUCCAUCAGUGCCCUGGCUUCUGCCACCAGAGACCUCUGCAUUUCUUGGAUCUUUUGGUUUUGGUAAUCCUGAUUGUUUGGUUUUGGUAAUCCUGAUUGUUUGGUUUUGGUAAUCCUGAUUGUUUAUAGUCCUUUUCUAUUUCAUUAAUUUGUUUUUUAUUCUUUAAUUUCUAUUCCUGUGUGAACCCUUAAAAUGGAGCCCUCAGUGUACAGUUCAGGGCCGCUUCCCCUGGGCCUGGCUCGGGAGUGUCGAGUGCUUGCCUGUUGUCAUUCAGCUUUCUGUCUGGUUUACAGGCCAUGUAUAAGUACAUUUUAAAGAUUUUAAACAGGGGGAGGUUUCCUACUUCUUUUAUAGUUACUGAUUUCUGGCUCAAGUUGCACUUUGGCUGAGAAGCCUAGGUGGGAUAGGCCGCCAAGUCUGUGAGUACUUUACGGUCUCCUUUGACCUCAAUCUUGAUGGAGCCACUUUGUCCUUCUUUAUUAUGUGCACGGUCCUGUGCAGGUGUAGUGGUGUCACUGGUUCUUAUGUGCCCGGUUCCGUGCAGGUGUAGUGGUGUCACUGGUUAUUUUGUGCACAGUCCAGGGCAGGUGUAGUUGUGUCGCUGGUUCUUAUGUGCCCGGUUCUGGGCAGGUGUAGUGGUGUCGCUGGUUCUUAUGAGCACAGUCCAGGGCAGGUGUAGUGGUGUCGCCGGUUCUUAUGUGCACAGUCCAGGGCAGGUGUAGUGGUGUCGCUGGUUCUUAUGUGCACAGUCCAGGGCAGGUGUAGUGGUGUCGCUGGUUCUUAUGUGCACAGUCCAGGGCAGGUGUAGUGGUGUCGCUGGUUCUUAUGUGCACAGUCCAGGGCAGGUGUAGUUGUGUCGCUGGUUCUUAUGUGCCCGGUUCUGGGCAGGUGUAGUGGUGUCGCUGGUUCUUAUGAGCACAGUCCAGGGCAGGUGUAGUGGUGUCGCCGGUUCUUAUGUGCACAGUCCAGGGCAGGUGUAGUGGUGUCGCUGGUUCUUAUGAGCACAGUCCAGGGCAGGUGUAGUGGUGUCGCUGGUUCUUAUGUGCACAGUCCAGGGCAGGUGUAGUGGUGUCGCUGGUUCUUAUGUGCCCGGUUCCGUGCAGGUGUAGUGGUGUCGCUGGUUCUUACGUGCCCGGUUCCGUGCAGGUGUAGUGGUGUCGCUGGUUCUUAUGUGCACGGUUCCGUGCAGGUGUAGUGGUGUCGCUGGUUCUUAUGUGCACAGUCCAGGGCAGGUGUAGUGGUGUCGCUGGUUCUUAUGUGCCCGGUUCUGGGCAGGUGUAGUGGUGUCGCCGGUUCUUAUGUGCCCGGUUCUGGGCAGGUGUAGUGGUGUCGCCGGUUCUUAUGUGCCCGGUUCUGGGCAGGUGUAGUGGUGUCGCCGGUUCUUAUGUGCACAGUCCAGGGCAGGUGUAGUGGUGUCGCCGGUUCUUAUGUGCACAGUCCAGGGCAGGUGUAGUGGUGUCGCUGGUUCUUAUGUGCCCGGUUCCGUGCAGGUGUAGUGGUGUCGCUGGUUCUUAUGUGCCCGGUUCUGGGCAGGUGUAGUGGUGUCGCUGGUUCUUAUGUGCCCGGUUCCGUGCAGGUGUAGUGGUGUCGCUGGUUCUUAUGUGCACGGUUCUGGGCAGGUGUAGUGGUGUUGCCGGUUCUUAUGUGCACAGUCCAGGGCAGGUGUAGUGGUGUCGCUGGUUCUUAUGUGCCCGGUUCCGUGCAGGUGUAGUGGUGUCGCUGGUUCUUAUGUGCCCGGUUCCGUGCAGGUGUAGUGGUGUCGCUGGUUCUUAUGUGCACAGUCCAGGGCAGGUGUAGUGGUGUCGCUGGUUCUUAUGUGCCCGGUUCCAGGCAGGUGUAGUGGUGUCGCUGGUUCUUAUGUGCACAGUCCAGGGCAGGUGUAGUGGUGUCGCUGGUUCUUAUGUGCACAGUCCAGGGCAGGUGUAGUGGUGUCGCUGGUUCUUAUGUGCACAGUCCAGGGCAGGUGUAGUGGUGUCGCUGGUUCUUAUGUGCCCGGUUCCGUGCAGGUGUAGUGGUGUCGCUGGUUCUUAUGUGCACAGUCCAGGGCAGGUGUAGUGGUGUCGCUGGUUCUUAUGUGCCCGGUUCCAGGCAGGUGUAGUGGUGUCGCUGGUUCUUAUGUGCACAGUCCAGGGCAGGUGUAGUGGUGUCGCUGGUUCUUAUGUGCACAGUCCAGGGCAGGUGUAGUGGUGUCGCUGGUUCUUAUGUGCACAGUCCAGGGCAGGUGUAGUGGUGUCGCUGGUUCUUAUGUGCCCGGUUCCGUGCAGGUGUAGUGGUGUCGCUGGUUCUUAUGUGCCCGGUUCUGGGCAGGUGUAGUGGUGUCGCCGGUUCUUAUGUGCACAGUCCAGGGCAGGUGUAGUGGUGUCGCUGGUUCUUACAUGCAUAGUUCCAGGCAGGUGUAGUGGUGUCGCUGGUUGAGGUCCCACAGCUGGGACACCUGCGUCUCCUAUCAGAAUGCCAGUUUGAGGCCUGGCUGCUUUGCUUCUGACGGCAGCUUCCUCCCCAAGCAUCCUAGGAAGCAGCGGAUGGUAGCCCACAUGCCAGGGCCCUGCUGCCCACAGGGGAGACCCAGAUGGAGUUCUGGGCUCGGGGCUCCAGCCUGGCCCACCUCUGAUUGUUGCAGGUGUUUGGGGGAGAGAACCAGGAGAUGGAAUGUCUCUGUGUGUCACUCUGCCUUUCAAGUAAAAAAUUGAAUCUUUUAAAAAUGUUAUGUGCAGAGUUCGUGUUCUGCUCUGUUUUACUUGGAUCCGUUCUCUGUGGCUUCGUGUCUGGAUUUGUCCCAGUGAAGAGCGUGUGCUGGUUGGCCAUUUUGUCUGGUAUCUUCCCGUGCUGCCUUCUCUAGAGCGCUGGUCUGCGUUCGGGGGUUCUUGGGGUGCUGGCCGCGCGCCCUGCCGCUCGGCGUGCUCCCUCCUUCGUCCUGCCCGUUCUGUGCGUUUGACCACUGCCUCCCUGUCAAGGCAGCGUCCAGUCCGCCUCAUCCACAGGCUCGACACUUUUCACUGUUCUCCGUAUUGGUCCUCAUUUUCCGUUUUCCGCCCGACUUCAGCUCCCAGCGCCCCUGGUGUGGCUCAGGUGUGUCCUGGGGAGGUGCUCCAGUGCACGGCAGCUGUGAAGAGCGCCCCCUAGCUCUGGUCUGAUGCUUGCAAUCCCUCAGAGCCUGCUCCGCCUUUUCUGUGCUCUGCCGGAUGUCGCUGCCUGGUUGCCGGGAGAGUACCAAGCUUUUUAAAAUACGGUUGUUUGCUUCAAUUUGAAAGGCAGAGCGACAGAGAAUGGAGAGAGCGAGCUCCCAUCCACUGGUCCACUCCACAAGUGCCCUUAGCAGCCAGGGCUGAUGCCAGGGCCCAAGCCCUUGAGCCACCACCUGCCGCCUCCCAGGGUGCGUCAGCAGGGAACUGGCUCAGAAGCAGAGUAGCCGGGGCCAGAACCAGGAACCCGGCUAAGGGAGCUGACAUCCCGCGUAGCCGGGGUCAGAACCAGGCCCCAGUUGAGGGUGCUGACGUCCCGAGUAGCCGGGGCCAGACCAGGCACCUGGCUAAGGGCGCUGACGUCCCGAGUAACUGGGGCCAGACUAGGCGCCUGGCUGAGGGUGCUGAUGUCCCGAGUAGCCAGGGCCAGGACCAGGAACCCGGCUAAGGGCACUGACGUCCUGAGUAGCCGGGGCCAGAACCAGGCCCCAGUUGAGGGCGCUGACGUCCCGAGUAGCCGGGGCCAGACCAGGAACCCGGCUAAGGGCGCUGACGUCCUCAGUAGCCGGGGUCAGAACCAGGAACCCGGCUAAGGGCACUGACGUCCCGAGUAGCCAGGGCCAGGACCAGGCCGCCGGCUGAGGGAGCUGAUGUCCCGAGUAGCCAGGAUCAGGACCAGGCACCUGGCUGAGGGCGCUGAUGUCCCGAGUAGCCGGGGCCCCCGGCUGAGGGCGCCGACGUCCCGAGCAGUGGCCUGAUGUGCCUCGUCGCGGUGUCUGCCCCGGAAGUCAUUUUAGUUCUUUGUCUUCCUGUGGAGCCCCCUCGUUUAACCCUGGUUUUCAGUAAUCGACCGGAUGCCAAUCAUCCAUUCCGAAUGUUCUUGGCCAUGUCCUUCAAGUGUGCGUGUGCCCCACACGGCUUCUCCUCUCCUGUGUCCCCAGGGCUGGUGUCCUCUGCGCCUCUGACCACUCGCCCCUGCCUGUUGUGAUCAUUCUGGAUUUUCUUCCAGCCAGUCUCCCCGUCACAAAUCCUCUCUGGCCGCGUCUGGUCUGUUAAAGAGGGAGUCUUUGGUCUGUUUUGUGGCUUGAGUUCUAGAAGUCUUUCUUCAGGUUUCCGAUCUUUGCUGAAGUCUUAAGCGUAGGCGUGUACCUUCCUGAGCAUGGAAAUCCUUGUUCUGUUAAACCCCGUGUCCGAAGCCGCCACAGAACCUCAGGCGGCAGCAACCGCGGAGCCGGUCCGGUAUUUCUGCUGGUUUUUGUUCUUGUUGGCUUGUCUUCUCUGUGCCUGGUGUGUGUUCCGUGGCAGAUCCUGUGUGCAGAACCUGCGGGGCUACCGGCAUGAUGACUGGGGUCUGGGGGCAUCCGCUCAGGCCCCUGGCAGGGGUCGCUGUGGCUGCUCACACGCAGUGCUGCAGGACCCCAGCCCAGAGGAGA